rnacentral:rRNA from 1 species
GAGUUUGAUCCUGGCUCAGAGCGAACGCUGGCGGCAGGCCUAACACAUGCAAGUCGAACGGACCCUUCGGGGUUAGUGGCGGACGGGUGAGUAACACGUGGGAACGUGCCUUUAGGUUCGGAAUAGCUCCUGGAAACGGGUGGUAAUGCCGAAUGUGCCCUUCGGGGGAAAGAUUUAUCGCCUUUAGAGCGGCCCGCGUCUGAUUAGCUUGUUGGUGGGGUAAUGGCCCACCAAGGCUACGAUCAGUAGCUGGUCUGAGAGGAUGACCAGCCACAUUGGGACUGAGACACGGCCCAAACUCCUACGGGAGGCAGCAGUGGGGAAUCUUGCGCAAUGGGCGAAAGCCUGACGCAGCCAUGCCGCGUGUAUGAUGAAGGUCUUAGGAUUGUAAAAUACUUUCACCGGUGAAGAUAAUGACUGUAGCCGGAGAAGAAGCCCCGGCUAACUUCGUGCCAGCAGCCGCGGUAAUACGAAGGGGGCUAGCGUUGCUCGGAAUUACUGGGCGUAAAGGGAGCGUAGGCGGACAUUUAAGUCAGGGGUGAAAUCCCAGAGCUCAACUCUGGAACUGCCUUUGAUACUGGGUGUCUUGAGUGUGAGAGAGAUAUGUGGAACUCCGAGUGUAGAGGUGAAAUUCGUAGAUAUUCGGAAGAACACCAGUGGCGAAGGCGACAUACUGGCUCAUUACUGACGCUGAGGCUCGAAAGCGUGGGGAGCAAACAGGAUUAGAUACCCUGGUAGUCCACGCCGUAAACGAUGAUUGCUAGUUGUCGGGAAGCUUGCUUCUCGGUGACGCAGCUAACGCAUUAAGCAAUCCGCCUGGGGAGUACGGU